GAAAUAUUUCUAAAUUAUUUCAUUGGGAUUUGUCAGAAAUGUGAUCUUGGAAGCAAUUGAUUAAUAUCAAUUAUCGUCGAUAAUCACAGUUAUGGAUUCAGUUUAUAAAAUAUAAUAUAUUUUUUCAUAAAAGCUUAUUUUGUAUUUGUUAGAACCACCUUAAUCAUGUUAUAUAAACAUGUGAAAAUCAAAAUAAACCUUUGUUUGUAAUCUACUAUACAUAUUGUCUCGAAAUCGAAUGAAGUUUGUGUUCAUUUAACUUUGCUUACCUAUAUUCAAUAGAUAACCAUAAAAACUGUUAACUCAUACUCACGAAAAAAGUCAUUAUUUGUGUUAUAGGUAUAAUAUAUACAUUAAUUUACAUUUAUUCAUACGUUGCUAAAAUACGUAUUUCGAAUAAUGAACUAUUUACCUAAAACGUUGGAAGAUGUCCGAAAAAUGAUGAAUUCGACAGAAAAUUUACGACAAAAACUUGAAAAACAAGAAAGAAAACUUUUGCUGGAUGAAAGAAAUAAGAGAUUUACUGAAUUAGAAGAAGACGAAUGCAUUAUCAAUUACGAAAUCGAAAAUGUAGAUAAAAAGUCCAGAGAGCUUCAAAAACAGAUGCAAAAUCUAAACGAAGAAAUAUUAAAAUUGCUUAUCAAAUUAGAUGGUAUAAGAAAUAGCCAAUUUACAAUCGCAAAAUGAAGAAAAUGGAACUUAUCCAAAAAAAGAUUAUGUACAAGAAAAGACGUAUCCUUCUUAUAAUUACAAACAGAAGUUUUCUAAUAGAAGAAACAACUACAACUAUAAAAAUAAUUACAA